rnacentral:rRNA from 1 species
AACGAACGCUGGCGGCAGGCUUAACACAUGCAAGUCGAGCGAGACCUUCGGGUCUAGCGGCGGACGGGUGAGUAACGCGUGGGAACGUGCCCUUCUCUACGGAAUAGCCCCGGGAAACUGGGAGUAAUACCGUAUACGCCUUUUGGGGGAAAGAUUCAUCGGAGAAGGAUCGGCCCGCGUUGGAUUAGGUAGUUGGUGGGGUAAUGGCCCACCAAGCCGACGAUCCAUAGCUGGUUUGAGAGGAUGAUCAGCCACACUGGGACUGAGACACGGCCCAGACUCCUACGGGAGGCAGCAGUGGGGAAUCUUAGACAAUGGGGGCAACCCUGAUCUAGCCAUGCCGCGUGAGUGAUGAAGGCCUCAGGGUCGUAAAGCUCUUUCAGCUGGGAAGAUAAUGACGGUACCAGCAGAAGAAGCCCCGGCUAACUCCGUGCCAGCCGCCGCCGUAA